CAAAACAACCGACUCAAACACUGGCCAACUACAUAUUAGAAAUCUUUCGGUCGGACGGAUCCGACCUCUGGUUUCUCAACACAAACGGACAUUAUCACAAACACUGGAUAUCCCCAUCACAAAACAAAGCUCAAACAGAUUAUACGCUAGAUUGAACACACAUCGGAGAUGAAAAAGAAGCUUCAUCCGGAGAUAUCAAUAGAUUUGACCUCCGAUUUCUUCACCUCCACCUUGGGAACAGUGACAGUGAGGACACCGUUCUCCAACCCUGCCUUCACCUCCUCCACUUUCGCAUUCUCCGGCAGCUGGAAUCGCCGGAGGAACUUCCCGCUGCUGCGUUCAACGCGGUGCCAGGUGUCGGUCUUCUCCUCCUUCUCCUUCCUCCGCUCGCCGCUGAUCUUCAGGAUCCGGCCGUCCUCCACCUCGACCUUCACCUCCUCCUUCUUCACCCCGGGCAGAUCGGCCUUGAAGAGAUGGGCCUCCGGUGUCUCUUUCCAGUCGACGCGGGUGUUGGCGAAGGCGGAGGUCUCACCGGCACCAGCGCCGGAGCGGAAGAAGGCUCCGGUGUGGCCGCCAAGGAAGGGGAAGCCAUCAAAGGGAUCGAAGAGGUCGGGGGUGAGGGGAUCGAAGAAGCUCCUGCGGAUGAUCGACAUUGCGGUGAUUUGAUCUGGGAAUUGUGAAGCUGC
rnacentral:misc_RNA from 1 species